ACAAACAAGACAUUCACUUGGCAACCAUACCCCACAUACCAUAAAGUCAUUUACACAUGUUUACAUAACAAAACAUAUACCAUUUUCAAGCCAAAUCGAAUGGCUAAAAACACAACAAGACAUAUAAGCUAUUAUUAGCCAAAAUGAUCUAUAUAUGCCAUUAUAACCAGAAUUAUAAAACCACAAUACCAAAAUAGCUAACAGAUAGUGUGAUGAAAUCUCCAC
rnacentral:lncRNA from 1 species